rnacentral:rRNA from 1 species
UACGGAGGGUGCAAGCGUUGUUCGGAAUUACUGGGCGUAAAGCGCGCGUAGGCGGCUUUGUAAGUUGAGAGUGAAAUCCCCGGGCUUAACCCUGGAAUUGCUUUCAAUACUGCAAAGCUUGAGUAUGGUAGAGGAUAGUGGAAUUCCUAGUGUAGAGGUGAAAUUCGUAGAUAUUAGGAGGAACACCAGAGGCGAAAGCGACUAUCUGGGCCAUUACUGACGCUGAGGCGCGAAAGCGUGGGGAGCAAACAGG